CAUUUUAUCUCUCUCUCUCUUUUUUUUAAUCUCCUAGAUCACUGGUUCUUAGCUUUUUUGGCAGAAAUCAUGGACUGUUUUGGAAGUCUGAUGAAAAUUAUAGCACUUUUCCCCGCCUCCACCCCCACAAACACAGACUCAGGCAGUUGCGGGUGCAGGCUGGCUGGUUGGCAGAUUUGGUGGCACGUAAGCCUGGGGACCUACUUGUCUCCUCCACGGCCAAGGGAAGGAGUCCAAGCUGCCAGAGCAGCAGAGCCAUGGCCCCUUGGGUUCCGAGUUCAGCGUUUUGGCAGCUGAGCCUCCUGCUGCUGGGCUCCCCCUGCCAUCCCCGGGCGAGAAUGUGUUCAAAGGGCAAGACUGGGCUUCGCUUCUCCUGGUGAGCUGGCAAAUCGCCUAGAAACAGCAGACCCUAGAUUAUGGGGGGACAAUAGAUAUUCAGGAAAUCAUGUUUCCAUCUCUUUCCUUCUUUGGCUUCAACUAGUAAUGAAUCCCUCCACCAGGGGGUGGACAGAAGCCAUCAGAGAAACCAGCGCUCCCCAAUGGCAUGUAGUCCCAGUUACAGAUUUGACAUUGUUUUAGGCCCUGGGCAUCCACCGAUACAAUAAGUACUGCAUCCAUGUCCUUCUGUCUUAUGUUUGAAGAUCAAGUGCAGCAUGUGUCAAACUGACUUGGAUUUGAGCAAGUAAAUGCAGCACAGAAUUCAUGCCUGUCAACAGAGCAAGAUGAAUUGCAUUAGCUGCAAUCAACUGCAGAGUGACUUCAUCCCGUGCCUCCCAUGUGACUAGGUCAAGGGAGAACUUCAAAGUGUCUAACUACAUGGGUAAGAGAACCUUCUUUUUAAACAGGCUCUCACCCACGUGAUGGAAGCCAGUAGCAGACAGACAGGGUGUGUUUGCAUGUGUGCUCGCAUUCAUGUGUGUGUGCGCACAGUCACUGGGCAGUCGGUGAUCCCCAGCCCAUCUGGUGGCUGCACACAGGGGCACAGCAUCUUGCACGUCCCACAGACCAGAUUCAAGACACUCAGACACCCACACACCCAAAGUGCCAGGAGAAAGUUUGCA
rnacentral:lncRNA from 1 species